GAUGAACGCCGGCGGCGUGCCUAAUACACGCAAGUCGAGCGAAUGGAUUAAGAGCUUGCUCUUAUGAAGUUAGCGGCGGACGGGUGAGUAACACGUGGGUAACCUGCCCAUAAGACUGGGAUAACUCCGGGAAACCGGGGCUAAUACCGGAUAACAUUUUGAACCGCAUGGUUCGAAAUUGAAAGGCGGCUUCGGCUGUCACUUAUGGAUGGACCCGCGUCGCAUUAGCUAGUUGGUGAGGUAACGUCUCACCAAGGCAACGAUGCGUAGCCGACCUGAGAGGGUGAUCGGCCACACGGGGACUGAGACACGGCCCAGACUCCUACGGGAGGCAGCAGUAGGGAAUCUUCUGCAAUGGACGAAAGUCUGACGGAGCAACGCCGCGUGAGUGAUGAAGGCUUUCGGGUCGUAAAACUCUGUUGUUAGGGAAGAACAAGUGCUAGUUGAAUAAGCUGGCACCUUGACGGUACCUAACCAGAAAGCCACGGCUAACUACGUGCCAGCCGCCGCAGUAA
rnacentral:rRNA from 1 species